rnacentral:rRNA from 1 species
GACGAACGCUGGCGGCGUGCUUAACACAUGCAAGUCGAACGGAAAGGCCCUGCUUUUGUGGGGUGCUCGAGUGGCGAACGGGUGAGUAACACGUGAGUAACCUGCCCUUGACUUUGGGAUAACUUCAGGAAACUGGGGCUAAUAUCGGAUAGGAGCUCCUGCUGCAUGGUGGGGGUUGGAAAGUUUCGGCGGUUGGGGAUGGACUCGCGGCUUAUCAGCUUGUUGGUGGGGUAGUGGCUUACCAAGGCUUUGACGGGUAGCCGGCCUGAGAGGGUGACCGGCCACAUUGGGACUGAGAUCCGGCCCAGACUCCUACGGGAGGCAGCAGUGGGGAAUAUUGCACAAUGGGCGGAAGCCUGAUGCAGCAACGCCGCGUGCGGGAUGACGGCCUUCGGGUUGUAAACCGCUUUCGCCUGUGACGAAGCGUGAGUGACGGUAAUGGGUAAAGAAGCACCGGCUAACUACGUG